GUACAGCUAUCUCAGGGUUAUGUAGCUCACUCACUAUGGAAGUUCAGUGAGUUGCUUUAGGCUCCCAGAAACCGAGGACACACAGUUUGCAAGCUGUCUGGAGGGAGCAGUUCUGGUGAAGCUUCAAAAGCUUCCAGGAAAACAACAUGCUGUGGGCUGGAAGCUACGCUACCCUGAGCAUCACAAGGCCCCAGGCAGGCAGCUGGAAAUGGCAGCGGAAGGAGGACCCCACAUCAAUUAUUCCCUGAAAGUUGCCGAAAGCUGAGAUAUAAAACCACGGUCCUGGCCUUGUGUGGUGACAGAAGAGCCCAUGGUAACUUUCGCAGGAGUUGCAUUGUUAACUGAGGACUCCUGAUCAAAUUGCCAUUCCUUCUGCCUGCUGCCAUUCUCCCUAUGGUUGCAGCUACAUAGGAUAUUUUUCUUCACUUCUGGUCAUAAUCUAGCAUGUUGCAUUACUGUGGGCUGUUAAACAGCUGCAGUGUCCCAUCCCAGAGGUGCAAAUGUUUCUACGCUCCCCCUAUCAUCUCUGUCCCUG